AACGCACAUUGCGCCCAUCAGUAUUCUGGUGGGCAUGCCUGUUCGAGCGUCAUUUCAACCCUUAAGCCCCUGCUGCUUAGCGUUGGGAGCCUACGGCAGUAGCUCCCCAAAGACAGUGGCGGGGCCGGUCACACACCCCGGACGUAGUAGAAUGUCUCGUCCGCGGUUGGGCCGGUCUCCUGCCGUAAAACCCCCCAAAUCACAAGGUUGACCUCGGAUCAGGUAGGAAUACCCGCUGAACUUAA
rnacentral:misc_RNA from 1 species